AACUCAAGAGGGUUGUAAAUUCGGCGCAUUCCGUUUUAAUACCCGAAAAAUCUAAACGGCAGUACAAAAAAUGUUACGGUGAGUUUAAAGAUUAGUGUGACAAACAGAAUGUUAAGACGAUGUCUGAAAACAUUUUAUUGGCUUAUUUGAUGCAGAAAUCAAAUAUUGUAAAAAGUUCAACUUUAUGGAGCAAUUAUGCUGAAGUGAAGCUGAACAUACAAAACAAUAUCGACAUCAAGCCGUUUUCAAAAUUAGUAUCAUUUCUGAAAAAAAGCAGUAGGUUAUCGAGCAAAAUAGUCUUUUUUACGCGUUUCUAGGUAGUUCUGAUAAUGGGAAUAGCUGGUGCCUUACGACGAGAUUAGUUAGUAAAAAUGGUCAUUGAAGAUGCUCGGGAAAAGAAUGUUGUAUGAAUAGUAACUGUUUUUGAUACCAAGACGCAUAAGAAGCGUGUUUUCACUGUUACAAAUAUUGAUUUCAUGAAAAUUUUUCUUAAAUAUGCAGCUCUUCGACCAAAACAUAUUAUUAAUAAUCGUCGUAUAUUCUAGAGUAAACAGAAAGUGCACCGCACUAGUUGUUUGAGUGCAUACAAUUGGGAAAAUGCCUAGUAUGAUUUCCAAGUAUCUCAGAUUACCUAAUCCUGAAACAUACACGGGUCACUCUUUUCGGAGAAGUUCAAUGCUUGCCAAUAAUGGGACUGAUAUGUGAAUUCUUAAACGCCACGGUGGAUAAGUCCACGACAGUAGCGGAGGGAUAUAUAGAAGACUCUAUCGAAAAAAAGAA